rnacentral:misc_RNA from 4 species
CAACCCUCGAGCCCCUGUGGCCCGGCGUUGGGGAUCUGCCACGGCAGGCCCCUAAAACCAGUGGCGGACCCGAAGGGCCCUCUCCUUUGCGCAGUAGCAUUCGCCUCGCAUCGGGAGUCCUCGGCGUCCUGCCUCUAAACCCCCCACAAGUCCGCUUCGGCGGCACCAA